rnacentral:rRNA from 1 species
UACCGGCGCCUCAAGUGGUAGUCGCUUUUAUUGGGCCUAAUGCAUCCGUAGCCUGUUCUAUAAGUUUCCGGUUAAAUCCAUACGCUCAACGUAUGGGCUGCCGGAAAUACUGCAGAACUAGGGAGUGGGAGAGGUAGACGGUACUCGAUAGGAAGAGGUAAAAUUCUUUGAUCUAUUGAUGACCACCUGUGGCGAAGGCGGUCUACCAGAACACGUUCGACGGUGAGGGAUGAAAGCUGGGGGAGCAAACCGG